rnacentral:lncRNA from 1 species
CCUCAGGCCAGCCGGUCGGGCUGAGGGCACUGUGGGCCAGCUCGGGCCACCCAGUCUGCCUGCCUGUGGCCUCCUAUUGCAGAACUAGCGUUCGGUGAGAGAGCAGGAGCGAGGCUCCCGGAGCUGGAGUCCAGCGUGGAAUCCUAGGUCACCAAGUACUGAAAACCUAUGGUGAGACCAGAGACGCGUGGAGAAACGCAAAUGUCCAUGAGCUCCCUGUGGAACAAGAGCCAUAGCAAACCUCCUCCCCACCUCCAGGGACCCGAGCGGAGUUCUAGCUGACAGCGGGAAGGACACGGACACUGGUGACCACUGAGUCCAGGUAUAAGGACGGAAACCACUGGGGUAGGGCUUGCGGAUUAUGGUGGCCCCCAAAGGCACACAGGGUUUGGGUUUUGCGCUCUAAGUGAGAAGCGGGGUCAGGAGCUCCCGGGUUCCCUCUCCCCAGCCUGGGGGUAGGAGUCAG